UACGUAGGGUGCAAGCGUUGUCCGGAUUUAUUGGGCGUAAAGAGCUCGUCGGCGGUCUGUCGCGUCGGAUGUGAAAACCCGGGGCUUAACUCCGGGCCUGCAUUCGAUACGGGCAGACUAGAGUGUGGUAGGGGAGACUGGAACUCCUGGUGUAGCGGUGAAAUGCGCAGAUAUCAGGAAGAACACCAGUGGCGAAGGCGGGUCUCUGGGCCACUACUGACGCUGAGGAGCGAAAGCGUGGGGAGCAAACAGG
rnacentral:rRNA from 1 species